GAUGAACGCUAGCGGCAGGCUUAAUACAUGCAAGUCGAGGGGGCAGCAAUGUCACCGGCGAACGGGUGCGUAACGCGUAUGCAACCUACCUACAUCAGGGGGAUAGCCCUAGGAAACUGGGAUUAACACCGCAUAACAUAUGACAAGGCAUCUUGUUAUAUUGAAAUAUUUAUAGGAUGUAGAUGGGCAUGCGUUGGAUUAGCUAGUUGGUAAGGUAACGGCUUACCAAGGCUACGAUCCUUAGGGGCUCUGAGAGGAGUAUCCCCCACACUGGCACUGAGAUACGGGCCAGACUCCUACGGGAGGCAGCAGUAGGGAAUAUUGGGCAAUGGAGGCAACUCUGACCCAGCCAUGCCGCGUGCAGGAAGACGGUCCUCUGGAUUGUAAACUGCUUUUGAAUGGGAAGAAUGUGUGGCUUGCGAGCUAUAAUGACGGUACCAUUAGAAUAAGCCACGGCUAACUACGUGCCAGCCGCCGCAGUAA
rnacentral:rRNA from 1 species